UACGUAGGUGGCAAGCGUUAUCCGGAUUUAUUGGGCGUAAAGGGAACGCAGGCGGUCUUCUAAGUCUGAUGUGAAAGCCUUCGGCUUAGCCGGAGUAGUGCAUUGGAAACUGGGAGACUUGAGUGCAGAAGAGGAGAGUGGAACUCCAUGUGUAGCGGUGAAAUGCGUAGAUAUAUGGAAGAACACCAGUGGCGAAAGCGGCUCUCUGGUCUGUAACUGACGCUGAGGUUCGAAAGCGUGGGUAGCAAACAGG
rnacentral:rRNA from 1 species